UACGGAGGGAGCUAGCGUUGUUCGGAAUUACUGGGCGUAAAGGGCGCGUAGGCGGCCGCCCGCGUCGGAUGUGAAAGCCCGGGGCUCAACCCCGGAACGGCAUCCGAGACGGGGCGGCUGGAGACCGGGAGAGGAGGGUGGAAUAGCCAGUGUAGAGGUGAAAUUCGUAGAUAUUGGCUGGAACACCGGUGGCGAAAGCGGCUCUCUGGCCCGGUUCUGACGCUGAGGCGCGAAAGCGUGGGGAGCAAACAGG
rnacentral:rRNA from 1 species